rnacentral:rRNA from 1 species
GUAGUCAUAUGCUUGUCUCAAAGAUUAAGCCAUGCAUGCCUAAGUACACAUUUUUACACAAUGAAACUGCGAAUGGCUCAUUAAAUCAGCUAUGGUUCCUUAGAUCAUAGUUAUCCUACUUGGAUAACUGUAGUAAUUCUAGAGCUAAUACAUGCAACUAAGCCUGUCCUUUGCGGGACGGGCGCACUUAUUAGAUCAAAACCAACCGGACUUCGGUCUGACGGUUUGAUGACUCUGGAUAAUUUACCUGAUCGCACGGCCUUUGUGUCGGCGACGUAUCUUUCAAAUGUCUGCCCUAUCAACUUUUGAUGGUAGGUAAUUUGCCUACCAUGGUUAUAACGGGUAACGGGGAAUCAGGGUUCGAUUCCGGAGAGGGAGCCUGAGAAAUAGCUACCACAUCCAAGGAAGGCAGCAGGCGCGCAAAUUACCCACUCCCGAAACGGGGAGGUAGUGACGAUAAAUAACGAUGCGGGACUCAAUCGAGGCCCCGUAAUUGGAAUGAGUACACUUUAAAUCCUUUAACGAGGAUCAAUUGGAGGGCAAGUCUGGUGCCAGCAGCCGCGGUAAUUCCAGCUCCAAUAGCGUAUAUUAAAGUUGUUGCAGUUAAAAGCCCGUAGUUGGAUCUCAGGAUUUGGAUGGAUGGUUCGCUUUCGGGCGCUACUAUCUGUCUGACCUACUCUAGUCGUGGAUGCCUUGGGUGCUCUUAAUUGAGUGCUUUUGGUGCCCGACGCAAUUACUUUGAAAAAAUUAGAGUGCUCAAAGCAGGCGUAUUGCCUGAAUAGUGUUGCAUGGAAUAAUGAAAUAGGAGUUUACUUCUAUUUUGUUGGUUUUCGGAGGUGAACUAAUGAUUAACAGGGACAGACGGGGGCAUUUGUAUGGAGGGGUUAGAGGUGAAAUUCUUGGAUCCUCUCCAGACAAACUACUGCGAAAGCAUUUGCCAGGAAUGUCCUCACUAAUCAAGAACGAAAGUCAGAGGUUCGAAGACGAUCAGAUACCGUCCUAGUUCUGACCAUAAAUGAUGCCAUCUAACAAUCCACGAAGUUUGCUUGUACGAACUCGUGGGCGGUCCCCGGGAAACCAAAGAUUUUGGGUUCCGGGGGAAGUAUGGUUGCAAAGCUGAAACUUAAAGGAAUUGACGGAAGGGCACCACCAGGAGUGGAGCCUGCGGCUUAAUUUGACCCAACACGGGAAACCUCACCCGGCCCGGACACUUUUAGGAUUGACAGAUUGAAGGCUCUUUCUUGAUCAAGUGGUUGGUGGUGCAUGGCCGUUCUUAGUUGGUGGAGCGAUUUGUCUGGUUAAUCCCGAUAACGAACGGGACUCUACUCUGCUAAAUAGAACGUUGAUAUAUAAAAGUCAGUGCUGACUUCUUAGAGAGACUAACGGCGUUUAGCCGUGUGAGAAAGAGCAAUAACAGGUCUGUGAUGCCCUUAGAUGUCCGGGGCCGCACGCGCGCUACACUGACUGCAGCAACUAGUAUGCUCCUGGUUUGAAAAAACUGGGUAACCUGGUUGAAUUGCAGGCGUGACAGGGAUCAGAGUUUGCAAUUAUCCUCUGUGAACGAGGAAUUCCCAGUAAGCGCAAGUCAUUAGCUUGUGCUGAUUACGUCCCUGCCCUUUGUACACACCGCCCGUCGCUACUACCGAUUGAAUGGUUUAGUGAGGUCUUCGGAUUGGUGCUGAUGGAGU